GACGAACGCUGGCGGCGUGCUUAACACAUGCAAGUCGAACGGAAAGGCCCCCAUCUUGGUGGGGGUGCUCGAGUGGCGGACGGGAGAGUCACACGUGGUUGAUCUGCCCUGUACUUCGGGAUAAGCAUGGGAAACUGGGUCUAAUACCGGAUAGGACCACGGUUUAGUAUCUCAUCGUGGUAAGAUUAUUGUUUUGGUGCAGGAUGAGCUCGCGGCCUAUCAGCUUGUUGGUGGGGUAAUGGCCUACUCAGGCGGUGACGGGUAGCCGGCCUGAGGGGGUGUACGGGGUCAGUGAGACUGAGCAGCGGCCCUGAGACCUAGGGACGGCAGCGAUGGGGACGGGUAGACACAGGGGGGAAGACUGAAGCAGCGACGCCGGGUUGGGGAUGCCGGCCUGCGGGUUGUAAACUCCUUUCGUUAGUGACGAAGCCUUUCUUUUUGGGUGUGGUGACCGUAACUUGGUUAAGAAGCACCGGCUAACUACGUG
rnacentral:rRNA from 1 species